GUCACUGAUAACGAAGGACAUGACAGUAAUAACUGUCGUUUUUAAGAAAUAUCUCCUUGACAGGUUUUUCUAAUUUGCUACAACCAAAUUUGCAACUUUUGCCAGCAGAGGAUUUUAUGGAAGACUUGAAUUUGGUACUGGUACCGACAGAGAGAUGCGUUCUUGUCAUUUCUUGCUGAAAAGUACGUCGUCCAUCAAAGCUCCUCAGUUCGUAGAUAGAUAAAAAUUGUCAAAUACCAGCUGCUAUCCUUCUGUAAAAAAUGCCUCCUUGUUUGCCAAAAUCAAUAAUGAGAGACGUCUACACCAUUUAUCCACAAAAGAAUAAUGCUGUACCACAAUACAACCAAUGAAUGCCUCCGUGUUUAUCAAAAUCAAUAAGGAGAGACGUCUACACCAUUUAUCCACAAAAGAAUAAUGCUGUACCACAAUACAACCAAUGAAUGCCUCCGUGUUUGUCAAAAUCAAUAAUGAGAGACGUCUACACCAUUUAUCCACAAAAGAAUAAUGUUGUACCACAAUACAACCAAACGAUCACUGCUAUGUUCCAAAAUAGACCUGAGCGAAGUCCUUUCGUUAGAACUGAUAUGUACGAUAUUGUGAGCUUGCUUUACAUGUCGAAUGAGUUGGUUAAAAAGAGAUCAUGAAAAGUGAAGGAGAAAAUGCACUCUCGCUUAUUCUGUCUCAUCUUGAUGAUCAAUCAAUAACAGUUUUACUUGGAACCUACAUUAAGAAAUUUUUCAAGUGUACUAUAUUUACGAAUAACGCCUUUCCUCUUUUUCCGUACAAUGAAAACUACCUAAACGGUUGGUUUACGCAGAAUUUUUCACAUUUUAAUGAUGCAGAGGGCAAAACUAAUCAAGAAGUAGAGAUUUUUAAUGCAAGUAACAAAGAUGAAGCAAUUAGAGGUAUCAUCGAGGUUGAAAGAUUGAAGAAAGAAGAAGCCGACAACUAGCGACCACAGUUGACUCGCUGUCAUGAAUUUCAGUUUUUUACCUUUAUUUUCAUCAUUAAUUUUCUUGUCAAAUGCCAACUACGAAAAUACGUUUUUCUCACUCUUUCUUCGGGGGAGAAUGAGAAAUUGCAAAAUUUUCUGCAAAGCAGACAAUCUCGGUAAAUCUUAGCGUAAAUAUGUCAAUUAUGUAAAACUCGUACUGUCUUGAAUUUUUCACGACCUUCUGGAAGUUUCCAACAGGAAUGAAAGAAAAUCGGUCACAGAUCACGGACUAUUAAUUCAAUGGUGUCGCUUCUUAGCAAUUCUGAUUGGUUAACCGAAUAACAUACAAGAAAAAUCACUAUUUGCCCUGAUUAUAACUGAAGGUUGAUUACUGUCAUACAAAAUGAAAUUGUUUUAUUUCACGAGUCUUUGAAAUUGAACUAUUACAAACAUCGAGUUAUUUCAUGAAACAUUAAGUCGAAUUUAGUGAAGCAUGCAUGUUCCCAUGUAUUAAAUGAUUCAGACAAAUAUUGUUGAUAAAAUUAAAUAGAAAAGUAUCCAGUAUUUUCACACGACAAAAA